CCCCGAAACUAGGUGAGCUACUUAAAAACAGCCUUCUGGGCCAACCCGUCUCUGUUGCAAAAGAGUGGGAAGAUUUUUAAGUAGAGGUGAUAAACCUACCGAACCUAGAGAUAGCUGGUUAUUCAGGAAAAGGAUUUAAGUCCUACCUUAGGUUUUUGUACAAUACAAGUACCCCCCCCAACCUUAAGAGCUAUUCAAAUAAGGUACAGCCUAUUUGAAACAGGAUACAACCUCACCAACUGGGUAAUAUAUUUUUAACAUCAACUAAGUGGGCCUAAAAGCAGCCACCUUUAAAAAAGCGUUAAAGCUUCAUUGCAUUUUAUAAAAAUUCCACUAAUUUUCUAAAACCCUUAACCUGUACUGAAUGGUCUUAUGACUUCAUAAGAGCCUAUAUGUUAGAACUAGUAACAAGAAGAAGCCCUUCUCCAAAAUGUAAGCAUGAGCCAAAAUGAACUAUUCAUUGGCAUUUAAAGUCAAUAAUCUUCUAGUAGUAACUUUUCAAGAAAAACCUACUAUAUUUAACGUCAACCUUACACCAGCACAUUUCUGGAAAGAUUAAAAAACUAGGAAGGAACUCGGCAAACAAAUAACCCCGCCUGUUUACCAAAAACAUCGCCUCCUGAUUUUUAUAGGAGGUCUAGCCUGCCCAGUGACAAAGUUAAACGGCCGCGGUACCCUAACCGUGCAAAGGUAGCGCAAUCACUUGUUCUUUAAAUGAGGACUAGUAUGAACGGCAUCACGAGGGUUAUGCUGUCUCCCUACUUUAUUCAGUGAAACUGAUCUCCCCGUGAAGAAGCGGGGAUAAAAAUAUAAGACGAGAAGACCCCAUGGAGCUUUAAACUCAGUAUCAACUGCCAUAUUUAAAACCUAAUAUUUAAGCAAUCUCUGAUUACUAGUUUUCGGUUGGGGUGACCACGGAGUAAAAUCUAACCUCCACGAUGAAAGGAAAUAAUAACCUAAAUUAAGAGCUACAGCUCUAAAUAUCAAUAAAUUGACUAAUUGAUCCAAUUAAUUGAUCAACGAACCAAGUUACCCUGGGGAUAACAGCGCAAUCCAUUUCAAGAGCUCUUAUCGACAAAUGGGUUUACGACCUCGAUGUUGGAUCAGGGUAUCCCAGUGGCGCAGCCGCUACUAACGGUUCG
rnacentral:rRNA from 1 species